rnacentral:rRNA from 1 species
UUUUUUAUGGAGAGUUUGAUCCUGGCUCAGAGUGAACGCUGGCGGCGUGCCUAAUACAUGCAAGUCGAAC